rnacentral:rRNA from 1 species
UACGAAGGGGGCUAGCGUUGCUCGGAAUUACUGGGCGUAAAGGGCGCGUAGGCGGGUAGUUUAGUCAGAGGUAAAAGCCCAGGGCUCAACCUUGGAACUGCCUUUGAUACUGGCUAUCUUGAGUACGGGAGAGGUGUGUGGAACUCCGAGUGUAGAGGUGAAAUUCGUAGAUAUUCGGAAGAACACCAGUGGCGAAGGCGACUUACUGGACACAUAUUGACGCUGAGGUGCGAAAGCGUGGGGAGCAAACAGG